UCCCUCCAUCUUCCUCUCCAGUCGGAUGUGAACACCGGUCUAAAUGGGUCAAAGGAACAAAAAGUAGCAUCCAAACUGACUUCAGUGCUUUUGUAGUACUGGGCCAGUUUCAAAUAGAU
rnacentral:snoRNA from 1 species